AGCAGCCGCGGUAAUUCCAGCUCCAAUAGCGUAUAUUAAAGUUGUUGCAGUUAAAAAGCUCGUAGUUGAAUUUCGGGGUUAGUAGAUUGGUCGUGCCACUGGUAUGUACUGGUCUUACUGAUUCCUCCUUCCUGAUGAACCGUAAUGCCAUUAAUUUGGUGUUGCGGGGAGACUGGACUGUUACUUUGAAAAAUUAGAGUGUUUAAAGCAGGCUAACGCUUGAAUACAUUAGCAUGGAAUAAUGAAAUAGGACGUUCGAUCCUAUUUUGUUGGUUUCUAGGAUUGACGUAAUGAUUAAUAGGGAUAGUUGGGGGCAUUAGUAUUCAAUUGUCAGAGGUGAAAUUCUUGGAUUUAUUGAAGACUAACUACUGCGAAAGCAUUUGCCAAGGAUGUUUUCAUUAAUCAAGAACGAAAGUUAGGGUAUCGAAGACGAUCAGAUACCGUCGUAGU
rnacentral:rRNA from 1 species